rnacentral:lncRNA from 1 species
GAUCAUGCCACUGCACUCCAGCCUGGGUGACAGAGCGAGCCCCCGUCUCAAACAAAAACAAAAACCAAAAAAAACCCACAGACUCAAUUCUGGCUGCCAGGCCAUCAAGGGCUGUGAAGUGAAGCCCUGAGAUCCUUGUGGCAGGACCCUGGACACACAAUGACAGUGCCACCAGCCACAGCCAUGCCCAGCAAGCAGCUUCCUGUCCAGUGAGCACCAAGGGGCCCUUCUCACACACAGCCUCCCACUCAAACCUCGAGCAUCCGCUUCUCUCCUCCUCCACUCUGGGGCACAGAGGCUCUCGCCAGCCCCCACAGCUGCUUCUCCGCUUGUCACCCUGCCACACACCCUCUGUCCCUGCAGUUCCAGGGACAGCCGAGGUGUUCUCACUCUGCACCAAGUGCCUCACGGGCCAGGUCCUGCUUAAAGCCUGAAUGAAGCAAAGCUUGGAAAGGACCCAACACAACCUGCCACCAACUGAAUGCCUGCCAUCCCUCCCCACCCUACGAAGACACUGCAUGAAAGCCACCGAGCACGUGACUGCAUGACCCCCACACAAAGGGCACGUCCAUCGUUCCAACUACAAAGCUCCACGUCCAACACCAGUGGCCUCCUCACCCCCAAUGCAUAUUUGCAACCCAUUAGUACCAAAAGUUUAAUCACUAUUGCUGCCCUGUCUCCUACUACCCCAUUCCUUGCCCUCAUUAAACUCCUAAAGACAGUGGUCCCUAGAUGCCUCCCUCUCUUCCCUAUCCAGCGACUUAUCACAAACACCCCAACACCCUUUCCUCUCCAUCAGAUAUCACUGAACCUCAACAAGGGGGCCUGAGGUGCCAAAGAAACAUCACAUAGCACGAUCUAGAGUGUAGCAACCACACAGCUAACACCCAAAUCAGAGGGUCCUCAUGAUCCCAUCCAUGCACCCACAUCCCGGCUGUCGUCCACAAUCCUACGAAUCAGAGGGUCCUCGUGAUCCCCAUCCGUGCACUCACACUCCCUGCUGUGGUCCACAAUCCUACAACAAUGCUCCACUCUUGGCCUCGUACCCUAAGUGUCCACAUUCCACCUGUUCUCACUCCUCCUACACAGCCACCUUUGGCCCUAAGAACACUGCAUCCGGACACGCAGGC